UCCCCGUAAUGACUUAUUUUUAUUAUUCAAAAUAAUAAUUUGUCUAUAUGUGCCAGGUGAUUGAAUUGCAUAUAAUCUUUUGAAGAAUCUGAGCGACUUGUAGGCAGGUCCUCUGCCCACCUGUCUGGUUUUCUUUUACAAACAUCGAAUCACCUCCAACUAGUGGGACCUGUAUGAGGUGCAGGGGACACGGUGCUGAAUCAGACAUGAUACAUGGUCCCCACCCUCAAGAAGCUCCCAGUCCAGUGGGGGAGCCAGGCAUAGAGAGAUACUUCUGCUGUUGUGCGCUGAGUGCUGCAAGGCUUGUGGGGGCCCGAGGAGGGACAUCGUACCCAGACAGGGUGCAGGGAGGGGUUGGUCAGGGAAGGCUGCCUGGAACAAUGGUCCUGACUCAUAAGGAGGUUGUGAAAUCAAUUUAGUGCAUAGCAACCAGCAUUAAAAAAAAAAAACUGAACAGAAAAUAUCACUGCGCAUCUCACGUAUAAAGAAUACAUAUGUGAGUGUGAGUUUGUGUGCGUUCUGGAUCAUGAUGCAAAUCACUCCUGGAGCGAGCCAGGGUCCAAAGGUUUGAGAGCCACAGUCGGAGAGAAUUCUUGCCUGCCGUGCUCCCCAAAGCCUGGUGCACUGAAGCGCUCAAAGAUUUUUGGAUGAAUGGGAGGAGGGAUUUAAAUUCUAACCUCAAUUCAGCAGUUGGGACCGUCCUUUCCAGUUAAGAAAGACACACUCAUGGGACUUCCCUGGCAAUUCAGUGCUUAAAGAUUCCACUUUCCAAUGUAGGGGGGUGUAGGUUCGAUCCCUGGUCAGGGGACUAGGGUCCCGCAUGCCAUGGGGUGUGGUCAAAAAUUAAAAGAAAAAGAAGUGCACACUGAGGAACCCAAGUCUAGCAAACCUGGAUCUGUCACAUGUGCUCACAGCCUAGCAGUCGGCAGCUCAGGGUUUCCUCUCUGCCUGCGUAGUAGUGGUGGGGAAGUCAGCCCAAGAUGGGGGAGGAGCAAGGCAGUUCAGAGCUGCCUGGAGGAGAGCUGGUCCCCCAGCCUGUGACCGCCUAGGAAACAGUGUCCUCAGGUCUGACCCACCCAGGUGGCAUGUGCCUCAUAAUAGCAGUGGCUCAGGCCACUGUGUUUACUCUGGGAUGGCCUCAGUCAUGCAUUGCAGGCCCAUGUGGCCAGCAGUCCUGUGCCUUCAGAAUGCCAACAGGAAGCACCGUUUAAGGGGCAGAUUGGACUCAAAGGAGAAAGGGCCCCGGGGGGAAGCAGAAGAUGGGCAGAAGGUCACCGCAGUCCCUGGCAGGGUGAGGCUUCCCAUGGGUGGCGGUGGUUCAGUCGCUAAGUCAUGCCUGACUCUUGUGACCCCACGGACUGUAGCCUGCCAGGCUCCUCUGUCCCUGGGACUUUUCCAGGUUUUUGUUCUCAAGAAGAAAUGGCCUCACCAAGUGAUACAACAAUGGUUCAACUGAAUUGGAAGUGGGAACAGCCACUUGGCUGCUUGGCUCCUAAUGCCACUGAAACAACAGGCAAAGAAGGGGAAUACAUUUCUGGCUGGAGUGAUGGAUCUCGAUUGCCAGGGGGAACUGGGUUGCUGCUAUACAGUUGGGGAAAGGGGAUGCUCUAUGGAACCCAAGGGGGUUCUCUAGGGCAAUUCUUAGUUCUUCCACUGCCAAUAGUAAAAAUGAGUGAAAACUAAACCAACCAACUAAACAAGCAAAAAAGGCAGGACCAGUAGGGAUUCAGAACCCUCAAGAAUGAAGGUUUGGGUUGCCCUACCAGUUAGAACACAGAUCGACUGAAAUGCGGGCGGAAAGCAAAUGGAAUGUGGAAUUUAUAAUGAAAGAAGGAAUUUGUAAAUAUAAACUACAGCCUCAUGACCAGUUGAGCUUCCCAGGUGACACUAGUGGUAAAGAACCCACCUGCUUGUCAAUGCCUGA